CUGACCUUUUCACUUGAUCUCCUUCGUUUCCAUAAAGCAAAGUCACAAGAUAUAAAACAAGAAGUUUUCACAUUCUACAACAGACUACAAGGAUGCUGACUUAAUUGGGCAAGUUACAACCACCUACACCAUCUUCCAGAAAAAAUCUAAGCCAGGCGCUGAGUGAGAAAGUAAUGAAGAAGAGCAACGCUCAUAUCUAGGAUGAAAAAACCAGCUCAUGACAAGAGAAACUGAGCUCCCCCUCUCUAUGAAGGCUCUACUGGGAAUCAAGCACACACAGAAAUGGAUGCAAUGAACUUAAAUGGAGUUGGGAGUGGAGCUGAGAGAGAUUUGUACAAGAAGAUCUAUAAGUAGGCUAGAUUUCUUGCUUUCAUGCUUCAUCACAAACCUGAAACAAAGGCAAGGUUCGCCAAGGUGCACCAACCUGAACUGAAUGAAGCAGAGUUGAGCUCUUAAUGACCCUGGGCCAAUCUACGGAAAUUGUACAAAGCUAGGUGGGGUGUGCAUGCAUGAAACCAUCCAAAAAUCAACAGCUUGGGAUAUGUUUGAGUUUUUAAGGUCAUCUGAAUCCCAAAUCAAAAAUUCACAUAAAGCAAAACUGAGAAAUGAUUUCCAGGCAGCCCUGAAAAAUCAAAAUCUUUGUAGUGUUUGCCAGCAGUAAUCUGAAAGCAGAUAGAUCUCUAGCUCUCAUACCUGCCUCCUCACCCCCUCCCCCCCCACACACAUACAUUUCAAAUUCACUUGCACAGUAUCCAUACGCAAUACACAACAUGUAAGUAACAUCACUGACAAUCUGUGGAGCUGCAGUAGGUUGUCCUCAUAAAUUAGAUACACAGCUUUGCUGUGCUCUUAAUGCCCAAACACUCACUCUCCUAAAAGUAAUUUGUAGCAUCAAUAAUAAUAUGCAUAACUGGGAAUUACAAAUAUGUGGGGAGGCCGUUGUGGAAGCAGAGAAAGAACUGUCAUGCAUUGCAUCCCCUUCCUGUCAGUUUUUUCUCUGCUUCCACACCAUAGACCAUCUAUUGGAAUCCCAUGCUAGAGAGACUUCUGGAGAGAAGUAGAGCCCUGAUACACUCACCCUAAUAACCAAAGCAAAAUUUUAUUUCACUUUGGCAGACACGUACAGGAUUUAAUAUAGAAUCUAUCUGUGGUGUGAGCUUGCUUGCUCACGUGUGCUUGGUUCUUCCGUUACAUGUGGCAGCGAAUUCUUCAGUGGAGUGCUAUGGGGUACUGCUAUUUUGUUUAUAGCAUCAUUGCUUUGGACAUAGUACAAUUUAUGGCACAGGCCACAGUUCAUCAGAGCAUUUAUGCACUUAAAAUGUUCCUUCCAGUUCAGCAAAGCACAUGCUUAAUUUUAAGCAUGUACAUUGCUGAGUAGGGAUAGGCUGUUGAAUCGGGGUCACAGAAGGUGUAAGACAGCUGCAUGCUCCUCCUCCCGCAUCUUGGCACACAUUCACUUUAAGCCAAAUUUCACUAUCACCAGAACUGGAACCCACAAGGAUUUGCAGUCUCAGCUUCACUAUGGUGAAAUGCACUAGAAUCAGAUUCUCUGGUGUAUAAAUGAUGGGUUAUGUCCACAGAGUUCUGUAUACCUAAGUUUAUUUCUACAUACUCAUUGGCUAUCAUAAUAUUUACGCCUGUGCUGAAAUGAUGAUAUUUUUGUGAAGUAAUGUUUAUGCUUUCCAUAUUUGUAAUAUAAAUAAAAUAAAUACAAGGCUUUAAUUUAUUUCUCUUCUGGGGUAUUUUGGACUGGAGAACUGCAGUCCCAGCACUGCAGCUGAGGAAGGAAUGAGGUUCUUCAAUUCAAAACACAGAUGAAAUUCCGCAUUCUACUAAUGACCUGAAAAUUAAAACCAACAUUUAUCCCCCCAAAGCUAGAAGAAUUUUCCCUGCAACAUCUCUCCUAUCUAUGAGAGAUGCUGCAAAUGAAAAGUCCAAGAAUUUAAGAGAUUAGGAGAAACCCGUCAACAAUGUUACAAUGAAAUCCAACCAAAUUUUAUUUGUUCAUUUCCAU